GGAUGGCAGUAGUGCCCACAGGCUUGGUAUUAUCUGCCUGGUGGACCUCGUGUGUGUGUGCCUGGGCCACCAGCCAAACCCUCUCUUUUUUUCAGGGAGAAGAGUGGAAGAGAGAAUAACAUAGAGAUCAUGUCAAGCAAGAUCAUAGGAUUGGGUCAGGCCAAAUAGUGAAGAUUAUUUUUGGUUAAAAUUGGAGUUUGAUCUCAUCAAGCUUCCAAACUGAGCAUUUGGGAUGCUGGCCAGCCUUGCUGUUAUCUGUUCUGAGGAUCCCACUGGUGUGGUAAUUGUGAGGUGAGCUGCUCCCAGUGAACAGGAGGAGGCUUCCAGGCCACCGUACCACCCCUACUAGCACAGAGGAGGUGAGCUGCGCAGGCGCCAGUAGCAAGCACGUUGAAAUGAGAAGACAUGGAAAUAAGUUUCAAAAUCAGACUUCCAGAUCACCUACAGCAACCCCAAGGGGAAAUGAAAUGGAACACUGUGAUACUCAACCACCUAGACUCCCUGAACUGGCAACAAAAGAGGAUCUGGAAAAAAUGAAAUCAGAAAUAAUUUCUCACAUAACAGCAGAGAUUAUACCCAUAGUGCAAGACAUGAUUAAUAAAUCUAGAGAGGACACAGAUAAAAAAUGGAGGAGCUGGAGUCAUGCGGAAGAUGCCGAAUCACCCCGCUGCAGACAGGCAGGUCUGCCCACACCCUACCGAGGUCCCCAGUCGCGCGGAAGACACCGAAUCACCCUGCUGCAGACAGGCAGACACCUGAUUCCACACUACAAAGAUGCAGAGGACACCAGACUACCAGACCAAGGUCCUGAGUCCCACUGUUCCCGGCCUAGAGG
ensembl:lncRNA